AUAGCACGAGUUAAUUAGUGCUACAAUUUUAAAUUUUGAGUUAAUAAAAUAAAAUUUUAAAAAAUAUAUGGUAGAGUAGAAAAAUAAAUAUUUAUAAGUAUUUAUGAAGUUCAGCAGCCAGACUAUGAUUUCGUUUGGGAUUGCGGGGAGAUUACGUUACAUGCGGUAAGAAACGACGAUGAAAAAAUAUCCUAGCUUGUUUGUUUUCGUACGUAAUAUUGCGUUCCGUAUAUUGUAAUUAGUCGGUUACGAUAUAUUUUCUGCGGUCCUAUUGGAGAACGUAGAAACAAAUCCGCAUAUACUUUUUCUCAACUCCAUUCUAUUUAAUAGCUUUAGAUCCACCUCAUUACCAAACUAAGCCUAUAUUUAGAAGUACGAAAGGUUUACUAUUAUUAACUUUCUAGUCAAUAAAUUCUUUUGGCUCUUAAAUCAUGCACAAUA
rnacentral:lncRNA from 1 species